CAAAUCCCAAAAAUAACGUCCCAGUUCGGACUGUAGUCUGCAACCCGACUACACGAAGCUGGAAUCGCUAGUAAUCGCGAAUCAGAAUGUCGCGGUGAAUACGUUCCCGGGUCUUGUACACACCGCCCGUCACACCAUGGGAGCCGGUAAUACCCGAAGUCAGUAGUCUAACCGCAAGGAGGACGCUGCCGAAGGUAGGAUUGGCGACUGGGGUGAAGUCGUAACAAGGUAAC
rnacentral:rRNA from 1 species